UUUAAUUCGAAGCAACGCGAAGAACCUUACCAGGUCUUGACAUCCUCUGACAAUCCUAGAGAUAGGACUUUCCCCUUCGGGGGACAGAGUGACAGGUGGUGCAUGGUUGUCGUCAGCUCGUGUCGUGAGAUGUUGGGUUAAGUCCCGCAACGAGCGCAACCCUUGUCCUUAGUUGCCAGCAUUUAGUUGGGCACUCUAAGGAGACUGCCGGUGACAAACCGGAGGAAGGUGGGGAUGACGUCAAAUCAUCAUGCCCCUUAUGACCUGGGCUACACACGUGCUACAAUGGAUGGUACAAAGGGUUGCGAGACCGCGAGGUUUAGCCAAUCCCAUAAAACCAUUCUCAGUUCGGAUUGUAGGCUGCAACUCGCCUACAUGAAGCCGGAAUCGCUAGUAAUCGUGGAUCAGCAUGCCA
rnacentral:rRNA from 1 species